UACGUAGGGUGCGAGCGUUAAUCGGAAUUACUGGGCGUAAAGUGUGCGCAGGCGGCCGCGCAAGUCGAGUGUGAAAGCCCCGAGCUUAACUUGGGAAUUGCGCUCGAAACUACGUGGCUGGAGUGUGGCAGAGGAAGGUGGAAUUCCGGGUGUAGUGGUGGAAUGCGUAGAGAUCCGGAGGAACACCAGCGGCGAAGGCGGCGUCCUGGACUGGUACUGACGCUCAGGAGCGAAAGCGUGGGGAGCGAUCCGG
rnacentral:rRNA from 1 species